CAUAUAUUUACUCCUCUACAUUUUUAAUUAAUCAUUUUUUUUUUAUUUUGAAAUAUUUUUAUAAUAUUUAUUCAGUUUAAAAAAUUAAUAAUUUAUUUAUUUUAUUUUUAGCAUUAAAUACAAGUUUUAUCUAAUACACUUUUUAAAAUAUUAAGUUUAUUAUAUUCAAAUAGGGUAAUGGCCAAAAGACCGUUCAAGCUUUACCUCAAAUUUCAACUACACACUUAAUCUUCACGGGAGUCCUAUCACCCCCUGAUCUAUUUUUUCAUGUAUUUAUCACCCCCAAAUGUUGAACUGACACGGAAGGUGAGAACACCCACUCUAGGCUCGUUGGUUCAGUCCCAACAACUCCAAAAAUAAAUACACAUCAUUAAUUGAUUUUUUGAUGAAAGAAAUCAUGAAAAAUGGCUCUCUCUCUCUCUCCAACGGUCUUCUUCCUCUUCCUUAUAACACUCUUCUCCUUGUCCACCAUCUGUCUUCAUCUUGCUCCAUUUUUUUAUUUCUUUAACCUACGUUUUAAAUUUCAAUCUCAUUUUCUACUUGAAUUCUUGGAGCUUUGUUUUGUAAUUUUGUUCAACUCUUAAUUUAGUGUUUGUAAUUUGAUGAUAGAUUUUGUCGGAAUUCAUGAAAUGACAAAUUCAAAAUUGAAUAAGCUUUGUAUGAACGAAUCAGACUCAAUGUUCAAUGCUGUUGUGAGAUGCAAACAUGGUAUCUUGCUUGACUUGCAAACUUCAUGGUAGAAGUCUAAUCUGGGAAGAAGAUUUUGGUCUUACCCCAACUAUGGUUCUCAAAAAUGUAAUUUUUUCUAUGGAGGGACAAAGAAAAAGUGGAUCCAAGAUCAAAUUUUAUCAUUUCAAGAUUGGUGAACAAAAUCAAUGAGUUGGAAGAAGACUUAUGGCUUAAACAGGUCCAAAUUGAUAACUUGACGUGGGAGAAGAGGCGCAAUGGAAGAUGGAGAUGGUGUAGGUUCAAUAGGAAGAUUUUUUUAUGUAUUUUGAUUUUUAUUGUUGUUAUGUUCAUCAACAGCAAAUGAACUGAAAGUAGUUGCUAGAUAUGGUCUAAUAUGGUGUAAAUUUUGUAUCCCUCUCUCUAAAUAUAUCAGAUUAUGUUAUGUUAUGUUGUCUUUUGCC